CUUACCUCGGGAACUCAAAAUCUAGUUACCGAACUUUUCGAAAAUCUGAAGAAUCUUUCAUCGCCACUUCAUGUCUCUUUGUGGUUUUGAUGACUAAAUGUUUUGAUUCCUUUCCAACACACCUGAUCAAUCAUGGCCUCACCCUGAUUCUGUGCUCACCACCACACCUUACAGAGAUCCACCAUGCUGCUGCUAUAGGAGUCUCCUGUUGAGUGCACACCCCACCCCCCACCCCCC